UGACAAUAAAUCACAAUGCGGAACUAUUAGUUUUGCAAUUGGAUUGAGAACAACGUACAAACCUUAUCGAUAAACAAUUGGAGGGCAAGUCUGGUGCCAGCAGCCGCGGUAAUUCCAGCUCCAAUAGCGUAUAUUAACGUUGUUGCAGUUAAAAAGCUCGUAGUUGAAGUGUGGAGAACAAAGAAGAGAAGAAUGGUCGGAUUCGGAUCUAAUGCGGUGACUCUGGACAAACUCAAAGUAUCGGCAUUCAUUUAUCUGGAUAUUUUGUUUGGUUGUCAGCUGUGAGAAAAUUAGAGUGUUCAAAGCCGACGUUUGUUUGAGGACCAUAGCAUUGAAUAAUCAUAUAAUGUUUUCAUGUCU
rnacentral:rRNA from 1 species